rnacentral:rRNA from 1 species
UAUGGGGGGAGCAAGCGUUGUUCGGAUUUACUGGGCGUAAAGGGCGCGUAGGCGGUCAGCACAGGUCAGUUGUGAAAUCUCCGAGCUUAACUCGGAAAGGUCAACUGAUACUGUGCGACUAGAGUGCGGAAGGGGCAACUGGAAUUCUCGGUGUAGCGGUGAAAUGCGUAGAUAUCGAGAGGAACACCAGUGGCGAAGGCGAGUCUCUGGACGACUCCUGACACUGAGGCACGAAAGCUGGGGGAGCAAACAGG